GGGCCGCCACCGCCGCCGCCGCCGCUGCCCGCGCGUAGCCGGGCCGGCCCAUUUCUCGGCAGGGAGAGCCGGGCCGGCCCAUCGGCGGGGGGGGGGCAGGGGGGAGAGGGAGGGGAGCGCCCCCAACCAGUGCCCGGGGACCCGCGCGGUGGAGGCGCUGUGCCCGCCCCGGGGGUGAGACUUCCGGAACCAGCCGUCAUCUCUAUUGGUUGAUCAGCGAAGCAAGGCCCGCUCCUUUGGCCUUGGGGUUGGCUGAGAGGAGGUCUUCCGGUGACCCACUUCCGUUCUUUGCUGCUGCGGACUCUGGGCGGUCGGGGUCGGUGAAGGAUUCCAAGAUGGCUGGGCGAAAACUUGCUCUAAAAACCAUUGACUGGGUAGCUUUUGGAGAGAUCAUACCUCGAAAC